UACGUAGGGUGCGAGCGUUGUCCGGAAUUAUUGGGCGUAAAGAGCUCGUAGGCGGUUCGUCACGUCGGCUGUGAAAACCUGAGGCUCAACCUCAGGCCUGCAGUCGAUACGGGCGGACUUGAGUACUGCAGGGGAGACUGGAAUUCCUGGUGUAGCGGUGAAAUGCGCAGAUAUCAGGAGGAACACCGGUGGCGAAGGCGGGUCUCUGGGCAGUAACUGACGCUGAGGAGCGAAAGCGUGGGGGAGCGAACAGG
rnacentral:rRNA from 1 species